rnacentral:rRNA from 1 species
GAGGCCGAAAGGCGUAGUCGAUGGGAAACAGGUUAAUAUUCCUGUACUCGGUGUUACUGCGAAGGGGGGACGGAGAAGGCUAUAUCAGCCGGGCGACGGUUGUCCCGGUUUAAGCGUGUAGGCGGAGUGUCCAGGUAAAUCCGGACGCUUGUUAACGCUGAGGCGUGACGACGAGGCACUACGGUGCUGAAGUGAUAAAUGCCCAGCUUCCAGGAAAAGCCUCUAAGCAUCAGGUAACACAGAAUCGUACCCCAAACCGACACAGGUGGUCAGGUAGAGA